AAACUAAAAAAAAAGGUAAAAAUAAAACACGUCAUCUCCAACUGAAGAUUUGUUUUUUUCCCCUGUAUUCUCAAUUCAACGCUAUUUCUGAGUGCCUCUUCUGUGUUUAGCACGAGCUUUAUCCAACGUGCAGACAAUAUCAAUACUUCAGAAGACUUAAAGCCUUGAAGCCGUUUCACCUGCUCCUGGCCCCGGGCUUCAGGGCUGGAGAGGAGAAAGGAUGGGUUGUGAGGAAGAAGGUUGACAGUGAGCGGGAGAGCGGCAGCAGAUCUCUGGCCGGAGGAAGAAGGUUCACAGUGA